rnacentral:rRNA from 1 species
GAUGAACGCUGGCGGCGUGCCUAAUACAUGCAAGUCGAGCGAACGGGCGAGAAGCUUGCUUCUCUGAUGUUAGCGGCGGACGGGUGAGUAACACGUGGAUAACCUACCUAUAAGACUGGGAUAACUUCGGGAAACCGGAGCUAAUACCGGAUAAUAUUUUGAACCGCAUGGUUCAAAAGUGAAAGACGGUCUUGCUGUCACUUAUAGAUGGAUCCGCGCUACAUUAGCUAGUUGGUAAGGUAACGGCUUACCAAGGCAACGAUGCAUAGGCGACCUGAGGGGGUGAUCGCCCGCACUGGAACUGAAACAGGGUCAAGAGUCCUGAGGGAGGCAGCAGUAGGGAAUCUGCCGCAGUGGGCGAAAGCCUUACGCAGCAACCCCGCGUGAGUGGUGGAGGUCUUCGGAUCGGAAAACUCUGUUAUUAGGGAAGAACAGAUGUCUAAGUAAAUGUGCAGAUCGUGACGGUACCGAAUCAGAAAGCCACGGCUAACUACGUG